rnacentral:lncRNA from 1 species
UUAAUUCUUCUUUGUUAGUUGCCAUUACCAUUUCUGGUGCUAUAAAUCAAGAUAUUGCAUAAAUACUCUAUUCCGGAGCAGUCACAUAAUCAAAUAGAACACAAAUAAAUGCCACGAAAGAUGGUUAAACACGACUAUAUGCAUAAUAUCAGUGAAGAAAUCAAACAAGACUGCAAAUUUGCAGUUAACAUGAAUUGUGAUAAAUACAACCCAU